GUCCACUUACCCUCGCCAUCUUAGUGGGUGGUCCAAAUGAUUAGCCAAGCAAGGGACGUUUGCAACGUAAGCCCCGCAGCCCUCGUUUUUAGUCGGCUUUGCGAGUGUACAAUUAUGUUCACUCCGGGGCCUGAAACUCCCCAUAAUUCAAUUCGCGACGAUUGUACAAGUGGCGUCACUACAGUCCCUGGUUCAAAUCCAGGCUGUAUCACAUCUAGCCGUGAUUGGGAGACCCAUUGGGCGGCGCACAAUUGGCCCAGCGUCGUCUGGGUUUGGCCGGGGUAGGCCGUCAUUGUAAGUAAGAAUUUGUUCUUAACUGGCUUGCCAAGUUAGAUCAAUUAAAUACAUUAAUUUAAUUAAUUAAAUAAAAAUAUUAAAAAGUCCGGGAAAACCUAAAAACAGCAUCAAUGGAGAAGUCAACAUACAAGUAUUGGCAGACUGGAAACCCAGUGACAACACUCAGGUCUGCAGCUGACAUUUUCUGUUGGGAAAGAGAAAUGGCCCUGUAUUUGCCAGAAAAUGUUGCGCAUCCAUCAUCGCAGAAGAGGAAGAGUCAUACACUUCCACAAUGGCAGAAGAGGUAGAUCCAGACACAUUCAACAUGGCAGACGAAGUUCCCGGCGCCUCGGCCACUGAAGAAUGUAGGAGGCUGCUGUCUACACCGUUGCGGAAUGUUCUCACUGAGGUGCAUCUUGAGGGAACAGCGCAGUUGAAGGUUCUACAGGAGAAUCAGCUGUAUACCUGCAACAGGUAUUGAGCAUCACAGCUGUCUGAUAAAGUACUUAUGAUGGAAACAGGACUUCCAGACAAAGACAUGUUCAACAUCGUUGUUGAAUACUUGGAAUGUUAAAAGGACUGUGUUGUCUACUUUGCCAAGUGGAGGGUGAAGAUGCUGUCAUUUGAGGAUCAAGUGUUUAUGGCUCUUAUGAAGUUGCAUCACAGCUACAUCAACUUGCACCUGGCUCAACUAUUCUGUUGUAGUGCAAUCACUGUCAGCAAUGUUACCAUCACUUUCAUUCACGUGAUCCACAAGCUUUUUUUCAUUAGCAUCAUGAAGACUUCCAAGUCGGGAGAAGAACCAAACGUGCUUGCCUGCGUCUUUUCAGGGGUCCAGCGGAAACUGCAGGAUGGUCAUUGACUGUACUGACAUGGAAGUUGCUACUCCAAGUCAGAUGGAUCUGCAGAAGCCAACCUAAUCUGUGUACCAUUCAAUGCACUCCUUCUAGCUACUACUGGGUGUUGCAUCUAAUGCAGUGAUAACAUACUGCCGUGAUCUGUAUCGGACAAAGCAAUUGUCCAGAAGUCGCGGUUUGAGAAGAUUUUCAUGUCUGGAGACAUGAUUUUUGUCAGACAAAGGCUUCUUUUUUUUUUUUUUUUAUCUCCCCAAUUUCUCCCCAACUGGUAGUAGUUAGUCUUGUCUCAUCGGUGCAACUCCCGCACGGACUCGGGAGAGGCGAAGGUCGAGAGCCUUGCGUCCUCCGAAACCCAACCAAGCCGCACUGCUUCUUGACACAACGCACAUCCAACCCGGAAGCCAGCUGCACCAAUGUGUCGGAGGAAACACCGUACACCUGGCGACCUGGUCAGCGUGCGCUGCGCCCGGUCCGCCAUAGGAGUCGCUAGUGCACAAUGAGACAAGGACAUAUCCCAGCCGGCCAAACCCUCCCUAACCCGGACGACGCUGGGCCAAUUGUGCGUCGCCCCAUGGACCUCCCGGUCGCGGCCGGCUGCGACAGAGCCUGGGCUCGAACCCAGAAUCUCUGGUGGCACAGCUAGCACUGCGAUGCAGUUCUUUAGACCUCUGCACCACCCAGGAGGCCCAGACAAAGGCUUCUUAAUCCAGAGCUUGACGCGUGCAGGAAUUAUUGUGAACAUUCCUCCAUUCCUGAACCACGAAGGUUCACAGAGCGUGAGAUGCAUCUCACAAAAGACAUAGCGAGAAACGGGAUCCAUGUUGACAGGGCAAAUGCUCGAUUAAAGAUGUAAAAAUCCUGAAAUUCAUCCCACCUUAUCUGCCUUAUAGUAAUGCGCUGGUGCAGACUUGCUGUGCACUUGUUAACAUCCAAGACACACUCAUCAGAGAAGUAGCUGUUGGUUGGGAAACAAGAACAACGAGGCAUGAGGGUUUGGUGUUGAGGGACGAUUUGUCACAUUGUCGAAGGAGUGCCUCCCUCAGACCAUCCGGUGCAUGGACAUCCUGUACCAGUGUGAUGUGGUUGUGGAGACUACAGCACAUCGAGCCUGUGGACGAACAAGUCACUAUCUCAUCAAAUAUGAUACAAUAUUGUGUAAAACAUUGAAUUUGUAGAUCUCUCAAUUUUGACUGUCCCCUUUUCCACAUGUUUUAUACAUGAGACGUGAAAUGCGGAACAUCAGGCUCACCCCACGAGAAGUAUGAUCAAUGCGACCCUCAGCAAGGAGAAGUGAUGUCUCUCCCAUCCUGCAUUUACCAGAAACUGAAGCUCCACACAGCAAAGGGGGUACUGACAGGUGGUGCGAAGAAGACGCUGAUCCAGUGCCCCCCCCCCAAAAAAAAACAUUGGAAUAAAACAUCAAGAAAUGAGGUGUGGCUUGCGGAACAUCCUGCUCACCCCAUGAGAAGCAGAGCAUGAUCAACGCCACUUGCAGCAAGGAGAUCUUCUGGAAUGGAUGUACUCACUCUGGGGGUAGAGGCAGGAAUGACUGGGUUCUUCAGCAAGUAAGACAUGGGGUAAGAAAUAAUUUAAACAUCACAGAUAUAAAUUCCCAAUGUGCCCAUGAUUAAGUUAACUACAUUACUUUUAAUGUACCCUAUUCUGGGAUACUAGUGUGGUAUGUAUGUACAAUGUGGAAUAUUUUUGGACCAUUGGCUUCCCUGAAAACGGAGACUGAUAGGAGGAUCAAUAGGAGUCUGCCAGAGGUCGUCACGCUGGAUGGUGAUGGAGGUUUUGGUGGUCCCCACAACGAAGAAGCAGGUGUCCCUUCAAGUGACGUGGAGUUGACCUUGGACCAAGUGCCAGUAAGGAUGGUCUUCACGGAGGCUGUAAGGUCCCCUUGCACCAUAGGGGCAUUUGACCUCCACCAAUGCUGUGGUGCCCACCAGACCAUCUGGUGAGGCACCCAGAAUCCCAGACCCUGUGACCCAAAGCCCUGACUCCUGCACAUCCAUCCCUGUAGCCAUUUUGAAUGCCUUGAUGCCCUCCUCUUUAUCUGUGCCCCACUUUUUUUUAAAUGUAUGCAUUUUAAGAAAUGUCAUAUAAAAAUAGUUUGAUUUGAUUGAUGACUACAGCUGUAGAAUAUUUAAUAAACUGUAAAGUGCAGUUUUUCCAUACACUUUUAAAUGAUAACUUGGGAUUUUGUCACUUGACAUAUCAAUCAUACAGUGGUAAGGAUCCUAUAAAUCAAGACUGUGUGGAUGCAUGUACCUCUCCGAAUAAAUAAAUACAAAGUCUGAUGUCUAAACAAAGUCAAUUCUGAAUGUCAAUUAGUUUUGGAUUAAUUCUCAUCAAUGAUAACUCAGUUUUAGAAUGUUAUCACUAAUCGAAGUCUGGUAUCCGGGAUAAUCUGGUUAUUGAUUAUAUGAUUAGGUGUCUCUUUCCUUAUAGAAUGUUGACAGCUGUAUAGAAGAAAUUGUAUUGCUAUGAUGCUCAAACUUAUAGGUUGCAUGUUCAAAUCCAGCGAUAGAUUUUUGUUUUAAGCCUAUCCCAAACCUUAACCAUUGUGGUAAUGCCUAACCUUAAGAUUUCAGUUAAUGACUGAACUUAACCUUAAACACUUCGAAAUUUGACUUUUGAGAAACAUGGAUGAACGUCUACUCCUAACUUGAGAGUGUGAGAGCUUGUUGACUUUUUUUUGCAUGUGACUACUCAUGUUUGUUAAUAACAAAUAAACAUAAAUAAAUGUG